GUUUCUAGGAGAGACGGAUGUGUGUAGACUCGACCU
rnacentral:sRNA from 1 species